AAUAGAUACCCUGGUAGUCCACGCCCUAAACGAUGUCUACUAGUUGUUGGUGGAGUAAAAUCCAUUAGUAACGCAGCUAACGCGUGAAGUAGACCGCCUGGGGAGUACGGUCGCAAGAUUAAAACUCAAAGGAAUUGACGGGGGCCCACACAAGCGGUGGAUUAUGUGGAUUAAUUCGAUGCAACGCGAAAAACCUUACCUGGCCUUGACAUGCCACUAACGAAGCAGAGAUGCAUUAGGUGCCCGAAAGGGAAAGUGGACACAGGUGCUGCAUGGCUGUCGUCAGCUCGUGUCGUGAGAUGUUGGGUUAAGUCCCGCAACGAGCGCAACCCUUGCCAAUAAUUGCCAUCAUUCAGUUGGGCACUUUAUUGGGGACUGCCGGUGACAAACCGGAGGAAGGUGGGGAUGACGUCAAGUCCUCGAUGGCCCUUAUGGCCAGGGCUUCACACGUAAUACAAGUGGUCGGUACAGAGGGUACGCCAAGCCGCGAGGUGAGCCAAUCCCAGAAAGCCGAUCGUAGUCCGGAUUGCAGU
rnacentral:rRNA from 1 species